GCGGAGGGAUCAUUAACGAGUUCCAUUCUCCUUAAUACACCCGUGAACGUUUCUUCAACUGUUCGUUGCUUCGGCGGGCGGCCCCGGGGAGGGGCCGCAGCCCGCAAGGGCGCCCGCCGGCGGCAGCGCAGCACAACUCUUGCGAUUUAGGCCCCUCUGAGAAGACACUAAAUGAGUCAAAACUUUCAACAACGGAUCUCUUGGUUCUGGCAUCGAUGAAGAACGCAGCGAAAUGCGAUAAGUAAUGUGAAUUGCAGAACUCAGCGAAUCAUCGAAUCUUUGAACGCACAUUGCGCCCGCCGGCAUUCCGGCGGGCAUGCCUGUUCGAGCGUCAUUUCAACCCUCGAGCCCUGCUCGGUGUUGGGGCCCCGCGGCCGCCGCGGGCCCUGAAAAGAAGUGGCGGGCGCGCCUGGACCCGUAGCGCAGUAAUACACCUCGCUCGCGGCGUCCCGGCGCGUGCCGGCCGUAAAACCCCUUUAUCUCAAGGUUGACCUCGGAUCAG
rnacentral:rRNA from 1 species